GACGAACGCUGGCGGCGUGCUUAACACAUGCAAGUCGAACGGAAAGGCCCGGCUUCUGUGGGCUGGUCAGGUGGCCAACGGGAGAGUCACACGUGUGUAAAAUGCCCUUGACUUUGGGAUAACUUCAGGAAAUUCGGGCUGUUAGGGGAUAAGAGAUCCUGCUGCAUGGUGGGCGUUGGAAAGUUUCGGGGGUUGGGGAUGGACUCGCGGCUUAUCAGCUAGUUGGUGGGGUAGUGGCUUACCAAGCAUCUGCCGGGUAGCCGGCCUGCGAGGGUGACCGGCCACAUUGGGACGGAGAGACGGCCCAGACUGCUACGGGAGGCAGCAGGGGGGAAGAUUGCACAAUGGGCGGAAGCCUGAUGCAGCAACGCCGGGUGCGGGAUGACGGCAUUCGGUUUGUAAGCCGCUUUCGCCUGUGACGAAGCGUGAGGGACGGUAAUGGGGAAAGAAGCACCGGCUAACUACGU
rnacentral:rRNA from 1 species